AACGAACGCUGGCGGCAUGCCUAACACAUGCAAGUCGAACGAGACCUUCGGGUCUAGUGGCGCACGGGUGCGUAACGCGUGGGAACCUGCCCUUAGGUUCGGAAUAACUCCCCGAAAGGGGUGCUAAUACCGGAUAAUGUCUUCGGACCAAAGAUUUAUCGCCUUUGGAUGGGCCCGCGUUGGAUUAGCUAGUUGGUAGGGUAAAGGCCUACGAAGGCGACGAGCCAUAGCUGGUCUGAGAGGAUGAUCAGCCACACUGGGACUGAGACACGGCCCAGACUCCUACGGGAGGCAGCAGUGGGGAAUAUUGGACAAUGGGCGAAAGCCUGAUCCAGCAAUGCCGCGUGAGUGAUGAAGGCCUUAGGGUUGUAAAGCUCUUUUACCCGGGAUGAUAAUGACAGUACCGGGAGAAUAAGCUCCGGCUAACUCCGUG
rnacentral:rRNA from 1 species